rnacentral:rRNA from 1 species
UUUAUCGGAGAGUUUGAUCCUGGCUCAGGACGAACGCUGGCGGCGUGCCUAAUACAUGCAAGUCGAGCGGACAGAUGGGAGCUUGCUCCCUGAUGUUAGCGGCGGACGGGUGAGUAACACGUGGGUAACCUGCCUGUAAGACUGGGAUAACUCCGGGAAACCGGGGCUAAUACCGGAUGGUUGUUUGAACCGCAUGGUUCAGACAUAAAAGGUGGCUUCGGCUACCACUUACAGAUGGACCCGCGGCGCAUUAGCUAGUUGGUGAGGUAACGGCUCACCAAGGCGACGAUG